rnacentral:rRNA from 1 species
UACAGGGGGGGCAAGCGUUGUUCGGAAUUACUGGGCGUAAAGGGCUCGUAGGCGGCCAACUAAGUCACACGUGAAAUCCCCAGGCUUAACCUGGGAACUGCGUGUGAUACUGGAUGGCUUGAGUUUGGGAGAGGGAUGCGGAAUUCCAGGUGUAGCGGUGAAAUGCGUAGAUAUCUGGAGGAACACCGGUGGCGAAGGCGGCAUCCUGGACCAUGACUGACGCUGAGGAGCGAAAGCCAGGGGAGCAAACGGG